rnacentral:lncRNA from 1 species
CCUCUAAGUCACUCAUCUCUUCUUCAAGUCCUUCCUUGGUGUGGAGACUUAGAGGUUCUCAACUUUAGGAACAUGGAGAAUCCUUUCAACCAUCUUCAUCCAAGAAAUCCAUGGAGCUAAGAGGCAAGGAAUGAAGGCCCUCUCCUUGGGUGAUUAGCAUUUGCGUAUGCAAAGAGGAAUUAACAAAGGUAUAAGAUUUCUCAACUCACUUUGUUCUUGAGUUGAGUCUUGGUUCACCUUUCUACUAGACUUUGAAUUUCAUGGGUAAUGUUUUGGUUUUGAGUGCAUACAAGCAUGUGUUGGAAGUUUGCCCACAAAGCCACUCAUUUGAUGUAAUAGCUUUUGGAAUACUUAUUGUAUUAAACAAUUAUAUGUUUAAUGAAGGGCAAAGCUUAUUGUUAAUCACUAUUUAUUGUAU